AGAACGAACGUUAGCGGCGCGCUUAACACAUGCAAGUCGAGCGAGAAAGGGGCAACCCCGGUAAAGCGGCGCACGGGUGAGUAACACGUAGGUAAUCUACCCCCAGGUGGUGGAUAACUUUCCGAAAGGAAAGCUAAUACAGCAUGGGACCACGGCUCCGCAAGGAGUUGAGGUGAAAGUCGGCCUCUUCACGAAAGCCGACGCCAGGGGAUGAGUCUGCGGCCCAUCAGCUAGUUGGUAGGGUAAUGGCCUACCAAGGCGAAGACGGGUAGCUGGUCUGAGAGGAUGAUCAGCCACACUGGAACUGAGACACGGUCCAGACUCCUACGGGAGGCAGCAGUGGGGAAUCUUGCGCAAUGGGCGAAAGCCUGACGCAGCGACGCCGCGUGAGUGAUGAACGGCCCUCGGGUUGUAAAGCUCGUGGUAGGAGGGGACGAAUAAGCGUUGGUACAAUAUACCAACGUGAGUGACGGUACCCUUUUAGCUAAGCCACCGGCUAACUCGUGUCGCCAG
rnacentral:rRNA from 1 species